rnacentral:rRNA from 1 species
GGAAGUAAAAGUCGUAACAAGGUGCCUUUNNGAGGAAGCCUUGCACGCCGAGUCUGCCUUCGGGCAGGCGACAUUCGCCUGGAGCUGGAAGCUUCGCCCCGGGUCCACGGGGGGAACGAUCAGCUGCUGUAUGCCCAANCCGUGCAGUUCACAGAUCAAACGCGAGUGGCCNGCGCCCGCAGGUUAAGAUAUGACCGUAGCANACUCUGCGAAGAGUCUGACACUCUAGUUCCGUAGGUGAACCUGCGGAAGGAUCAUUA